AUUGAACGCUGGCGGCAGGCCUAACACAUGCAAGUCGAGCGAGCGGCGGACGGGUGAGUAAUGUAUGGGGACUGCCCGAUAGAGGGGGAUAACUACUGGAAACGGUGGCUAAUACCGCAUACUAUCGGAUAACCCAUAUGGGAUUAGCUAGUGGGUGUGGUAAAGGCUCACCUAGGCGACGAUCUCUAGCUGGUCUGAGAGGUUGGUCGGCCACACUGGGACUUAGACACGGCCCAGACUCCGACGGAGGCAGCAGUGGGGAAAUUUGCACAAUGGUCGAAAGUCUGAUGCAGCCAUGCCGCGUGUGUGAAGAAGGCCUUAGGGUUGUAAAGUACUUUCAGUCGGGAGGCGUUAACAACAGAAGAAGCACCGGCGAACUCCGUGCCAGCAGCCGCGGUAAUUC
rnacentral:rRNA from 1 species